AUGGCUGUCGUCAGCUCGUGUCGUGAGAUGUUGGGUUAAGUCCCGUAACGAGCGCAACCCUUAUCCUUAUUUGCCAGCACGUAAUGGUGGGAACUCUAAGGAGACUGCCGGGGUCAACUCGGAGGAAGGUGGGGACGACGUCAAGUCAUCAUGCCCCUUAUAUCCAGGGCUGCAAACAUGCUACAAUGGCCGGUACAGAGGGCUGCAAAACCGCGAGGUUGAGCGAAUCCCACAAAGCCGGUCUCAGUUCGGAUUGGAGUCUGCAACUCGACUCCAUGAAGGCGGAGUCGCUAGUAAUCCCGGAUCAGCAACGCCGGGGUGAAUACGUUCCCGGGCCUUGUACACACCGCCCGUCACACCACGAAAGUCAGCAACACCCGAAGUCAGUGGCCCAACUCUUACGAGAAGGAGCUGCCGAAGGUGGGGUCGGCGAUUGGGGUGAAGUCGUAACAAGGUAGCCGUACCGGAAGGUGCGGCUGGAUCACCUCCUUUCUAAGGAGUACAUAUCGUCAUCGUUGUCGGCCAUUUGUGCCGACCGGAGACGGUCACUCCCAGUUAGCGCACUGGCUAGUUGGUCACGUUCCCAGGGCUCGAGACACUCGAGUCCAGGUAACGGUGAAGUUCCGUCCUCUAUCCCGUUUUGAGGGAGCGCUACGCGCUCGUCCUCACGGGUCCGGUCCCACCGUCGCAGCGCACUCGAUGCGUUCCCGGCGGUGCCAUCGGACCACAGGCCACGGCCGAUGGCGACAGUCCCACCAGGGAUCGUCCGCUACGCCGUCGCCGGCCUACAGGGCCGGCAGCUGUCUCUUGAGAACUGCACAGCGAACACGAGCAUCUUCAUCAAUCAAUUGUCGAUGUAUUUGUAAUUUCCAAGCUACUAAGAGCCAACGGUGAAUGCCUUGGCGACUACUACCGAAGAAGGACGUGGGUGGCUGCGAAAAGCCACGGUGAGCUGUCUACCGAGCUUUGACCCGUGGAUGUCCGAAUGGGGAAACCCGG
rnacentral:sRNA from 1 species